UCCCCCUUGCGGAGGCAGUCCCGUAUGAGAAAUACAACAUACGGCGAGGGUUGCGCUCGUUGGAGGACUUAACCCGACAUCUCACGACACGAGCUGACGACGACCAUGCAGCACCUGUCAUCUGGCUCCCUUGCGGGCACCCUCCUGUUUCUAGGAGGUUCCAGAGAUGUCAAGCCCUGGUGAGGUCCUUCGCUUAGUGUCGAAUUAAACCACAUGCUCCACCGCUUGUGUGGAUCCCCGUCAAUUCCUUUGAGUUUUAACCUUGCGGCCGUACUUCCCAGGCGGGGUACUUAACGCGUUAGCUUAGGCACAUACGGGGUCGAGACCGCAUAUACCGAGUACCCAUCGUUUACAGCGUGGACUAC
rnacentral:misc_RNA from 1 species